UUGACCCUGGGAUCAGAAAAUUUGUUAUAGACCUAUUCAAGGCAGAACAGAGGCCAGAGACAAAGGACCAGAUCAUGAAAAUCCCUCUAAUGAUUCCAAAGGUUCCGCAGCAGCAAAAUGAUGAAGACUGUGGCAAUUUUGUCUUGUACUAUAUAAACCUCUUCUUAGAGAGUGCUCCUGAAAAUUUCAGCAUUUCAAAGGGAUACCCAUACUUUGUGAGUUCCUCUGUCUGAUACUUUGAUACCAGUUCCUCCUUACCUUUUAACAUAUCAGGAAUUUGUGUGGUCGUCAUUAUAAUGGGAUG
rnacentral:misc_RNA from 1 species